AAGGGUUCGUAGGCGGUAAUGCGUGUCAGAUGUGAAAUCUUGUGGCUUAACCACAUUAAGCAUCUGAAACUGCAUAACUUGAGUGAAGGAGAGGUAAGUGGAAUUCCUAGUGUAGCGGUGAAAUGCGUAGAUAUUAGGAGGAAUACCAGUAGCGAAGGCGACUUACUGGCCUUUAACUGACGCUGAGGAACGAAAGCGUGGGUAGCAAACAGGAUUAGAUACCCUGGUAGUCCACGCCGUAAAC
rnacentral:rRNA from 1 species